GCCUUGAUAACUUCGUUGGCGUCAAGGUGAGAGAACAAGAAGGAAAUAACAGGAAAACUGGCAAGGAAAGCAGUGCGAGGCUGAGGUUGCAGUCAGGACAUGAACCUUGCCUCAGGCUAUGGCAUCCAGCUCACUCAGACUCCUGCAUAUGGAAGCCCAUCAGGGCCUGUUUGUAAGGCAGUCUGCAGUGUGGCCGUUUCGCUGUUGCACAAAGGAGAAAUGGACAUUCCCAUAAUUCACUUUGGCAAGAAACCAGGCAGAGAUCUACAGGACUUCAUAAAAAUGGAUCCCACCAGUACAUCUGUGUUCAAAUUGAUUUGCUUGAAGAUGAGGAAUGUGGGCUCUGGCCUAAGACGAUUAAAAAUCUGGAACAUGAAUUACGACCUGGAGCAUUCUGGAAAUGGGACACCUUCUUCUUUCGGAACUGAAACAGGACCACUCUAAACCCUGAAGUGCAGAAACUCAUGUUCUGUCCUGUAUAAACAACUGUGGUACCUGAAGAAGUUCCCCUACUCAUAGAAACAAGGCUGAAGACGCUCAGCAGAGCAAGAGCAUCCCACAAGCAAAGUGGAGGUAAGGUAGCAGCUGGUAGCAGUCUUCAUUGCCAGUCUCCGUGGGGUGUGGAUUUAUGGGCCUAAAACUGUGGCAGAUCACAGUAAAUCAAACCCCUUUGUGUCUUUCACCCAUUAAUAGUGCAGAUGUACGUGAUGUGUGUACAUAACAUAGGAGAUUUCCAAUUGGAGUUGUUGUUUCGCUCUUUUUACACAGCAGACUGUUCUCAUUUCUUUCAAAAGAGUCCUUGGACGCAUGCCUAAAAACAAAUUUCCAAAUCCCUUCAUCAGACUCCUCCUCCUUCUCUCCUCAGUCUCUGCCCCUCCCUUCUUUUCAAUAAUAAUGGAAACAAUUUUCAUCAUAAGCUAAACACAACUUAAUUUCUUUGCACCUUAUGUGAAAAAAAUUGUGCUGCAAACUAGAUAAGGUAGAAGAAUAGUGCAUGAACUGCUGCCAUCUCUUGGUUAUAUUCAUCACUCCAAG
rnacentral:lncRNA from 1 species